rnacentral:rRNA from 1 species
GACGAACGCUGGCGGCGUGCCUAAUACAUGCAAGUAGAACGCACAGUUUAUACCUUAGCUUGCUACACCAUAGACUGUGAGUUGCGAACGGGUGAGUAACGCGUAGGUAACCUGCCUGGUAGCGGGGGAUAACUAUUGGAAACGAUAGCUAAUACCGCAUAAUAUUGAUUAUUGCAUGAUAAUUGAUUGAAAGAUGCUAUUGCAUCACUACCAGAUGGACCUGCGUUGUAUUAGCUAGUAGGUGAGGUAACGGCUCACCUAGGCGACGAAACAUAGCCGACCUGAGAGGGGGAUCGGCCACACUGGGACUGAGACACGGCCCAGAAUACUAGGGGAGGCAGCCGUAGGGAAUCUUCGGCAAUGGACGAAAGUCUGACCGAGAAACGCCGCGUGAGUGAAGAAGGUUUUCGGAUCGUAAAGCUCUGUUGUAAGAGAAGAACGGGUGUGAGAGUGGAAAGUUCACACUGUGACGGUAUCUUACCAGAAAGGGACGGCUAACUACGUG